rnacentral:rRNA from 1 species
UUAAGUGAAUAAGGGCGCACGGUGGAUGCCUUGGCACUAGGAGCCGAUGAAGGACGGGACUAACACCGAUAUGCUUUGGGGAGCUGUACGUAAGCUAUGAUCCAGAGAUUUCCGAAUGGGGAACGGCAGCAUCUUUAAUAGGAUGUUACGAUUGUGUGAAUACAUAGCACAUUCGAGGUAGACGCAGAGAACUGAAACAUCUAAGUACCUGCAGGAAGAGAAAGAAAAUUCGAUUCCCUGAGUAGCGGCGAGCGAAACGGGAAAAGCCCAAACCAGCAAGCUUGCUUGUUGGGGUUGUAGGACUCCAAUAUGGUAGUUCUUUCAGAUAGUCGAAUGACUUGGAAAAGUCAGUCAAAGAGGGUAAAAACCCCGUAGACGAAAUGUGGAAGACACCUAGGAGGAUCCUGAGUACGGCGGAACACGAGAAAUUCCGUCGGAAUCCGGGAGGACCAUCUCCCAAGGCUAAAUACUCCCUAGUGACCGAUAGUGAACCAGUACAGUCGCGAGGCUAAGCUAAUCUCUUAAAGCUUCUCUCAGUUCGGAUUGCAGGCUGUGUGCCUACAACAAGUCAAAGCCCGUUAAUGGGUGAUGGCGUGCCUUUUGUAGAAUGAACCGGCGAGUUACGAUUGCAUGCGAGGUUAAGUUGAAGAGACGGAGCCGCAGCGAAAGCGAGUCUGAAUAGGGCGUUUGAGUAUGUAGUCGUAGACCCGAAACCAUGUGAUCUACCCAUGUCCAGGUUGAAGGUGCGGUAAAACGCACUGGAGGACCGAACCCACGUACGUUGAAAAGUGCGGGGAUGAGGUGUGGGUAGCGGAGAAAUUCCAAACGAACUUGGAGAUAGCUGGUUCUCUCCGAAAUAGCUUUAGGGCUAGCCUCGGAAUUGAGAAUGAUGGAGGUAGAGCACUGUUUGGACUAGGGGCCCAUCUCGGGUUACCGAAUUCAGAUAAACUCCGAAUGCCAUUAACUGGAUAUUUGAAGUAAAUGUAAGUAAUACAAACCGAGAACACCGCGUUGAAUUUGAAAGCUGAACAAAUUGUUUAGCCUGAAAUAUGUUAAGUGGAAAAGGAUGUGGGGUUGCACAGACAACUAGGAUGUUGGCUUAGAAGCAGCCAUCAUUUAAAGAGUGCGUAAUAGCUCACUAGUCGAGUGACCCUGCGCCGAAAAUGUACCGGGGCUAAACAUAUUACCGAAGCUGUGGAGUACACCUUUAGGUGUAUUGGUAGGAGAGCGUUCUAAGGGCGUCGAAGGCAGAUCGUGAGGACUGCUGGAGCGCUUAGAAGUGAGAAUGCCGGUAUGAGUAGCGAAAGACAGGUGAGAAUCCUGUCCACCGAACCGAAUGGGGGAACCCAGCAUCUUUAAUAGGAUGUUACGAUUGUGGACCUAAGCCGAGGCCGACAGGCGUAGGCGAUGGAUAACAGGUUGAUAUUCCUGUACCCGUUGUUUUUGUUUGAGCAAUGGAGGGACGCAGGAGGCUAAGGAAUGCAGACGAUCGGAAAUGUCUGUCCAAGCAGUAAGUCUGAAGAGGAGUUAAAUGCUUCUUUUCUUAAGGACAAGCUGUGAUGGGGAGGGAAAUAAUAGUACCGAAGUUCCUGAUGUCACACUGCCGAGAAAAGCUUCUAGUGAGAAAACAGCGGCCCGUACCGCAAACCGACACAGGUAGUCGAGGAGAGAAUCCUAAGGUGAGCGAGAGAACUCUCGUUAAGGAACUCGGCAAAAUGACCCCGUAACUUCGGGAGAAGGGGUGCUGAUCAUACGAUCAGCCGCAGUGAAUAGGCCCAAGCGACUGUUUAUCAAAAACACAGGUCUCUGCAAAAUCGUAAGAUGAAGUAUAGGGGCUGACGCCUGCCCGGUGCUGGAAGGUUAAGAGGAGUGCUUAGCGCAAGCGAAGGUACGAAUUGAAGCCCCAGUAAACGGCGGCCGUAACUAUAACGGUCCUAAGGUAGCGAAAUUCCUUGUCGGGUAAGUUCCGACCCGCACGAAAGGCGUAACGAUUUGGGCACUGUCUCAACGAGAGACUCGGUGAAAUUUUAGUACCUGUGAAGAUGCAGGUUACCCGCGACAGGACGGAAAGACCCCAUGGAGCUUUACUGUAGUUUGAUAUUGAGUGUCUGUACCGCAUGUACAGGAUAGGUAGGAGCCGUAGAAAUCGGAACGCUAGUUUCGAUGGAAACUCCGAAUGCCAUUCAUUCAUAUCCGGGAGUCAGACUGUGAGCACCACUAAUCGUGGUGGGAGACAGUGUCAGAUGGGCAGUUUGACUGGGGCGGUCGCCUCCUAAAAGGUAACGGAGGCGCCCAAAGGUUCCCUCAGAAUGGUUGGAAAUCAUUCGAAGAGUGUAAAGGCAGAAGGGAGCUUGACUGCGAGACCAACAAGUCGAGCAGGGACGAAAGUCGGGCUUAGUGAUCCGGUGGUUCCGCAUGGAAGGGCCAUCGCUCAACGGAUAAAAGCUACCCUGGGGUAAGGGCGUCGAAGGCAGAUCGUGAGGACUGCCGACGGGGAGGUUUGGCACCUCGAUGUCGGCUCGUCGCAUCCUGGGGCUGUAGUCGGUCCCAAGGGUUGGGCUGUUCGCCCAUUAAAGCGGCACGCGAGCUGGGUUCAGAACGUCGUGAGACAGUUCGGUCCCUAUCCGUCGCGGGCGUUGGAAAUUUGAGAGGAGCUGUCCUUAGUACGAGAGGACCGGGAUGGACUUACCGCUGGUGUACCAGUUGUUCUGCCAAGGGCAUUGCUGGGUAGCUAUGUAGGGAAGGGAUAAACGCUGAAAGCAUCUAAGUGUGAAGCCCACCUCAAGAUGAGAUUUCCCAUUUCUUUAAGAAAGUAAGAUCCCUGAGAGAUGAUCAGGUAGAUAGGUCAGGAGUGGAAGUACAGUGAUGUAUGGAGCGGACUGAUACUAAUCGAUCGAGGACUUAACC